rnacentral:rRNA from 1 species
AACUUUAGUAGAGUGGCGCACGGGUGAGUAACGCGUAAGUAAUCUACCCUCGCAUCUGGGAUAACCCACCGAAAGGUGUGCUAAUACCGGAUACGUCUAAGUUAAUAUCUUUUUUUUAGAGAAAGGUGGCCUCUGAUUCAAGCUACUGUGCGGGGAGGAGCUUGCGUACCAUUAGCUAGUUGGUAGGGUAACGGCCUACCAAGGCGACGAUGGUUAGCGGGUCUGAGAGGAUGAUCCGCCACACUGGAACUGAAACACGGACCAGACUCCUACGGGAGGCAGCAGUGAGGAAUAUUGCGCAAUGGGGGCAACCCUGACGCAGCAACGCCGCGU